UACGGAGGAUCCGAGCGUUAUCCGGAUUUAUUGGGUUUAAAGGGUGCGUAGGCGGCCGAGUAAGUCAGCGGUGAAAUUUUGCAGCUUAACUGUAACAGUGCCGUUGAUACUGCAUGGCUAGGAUUUGGUUGCUGUGGGUGGAAUGUGUGGUGUAGCGGUGAAAUGCUUAGAUAUCACACAGAAUAUCGAUUGCGAAGGCAGCUCACAAAGCCAAGAUUGACGCUGAGGCACGAAAGUGUGGGGAUCAAACA
rnacentral:rRNA from 1 species